CUUCCGCGCGCCACUCAGCAGCACGUUCGACCUGUCCGACGCGCAGACCAUGCAGGCCCUGCACGAGUCGGCCCUCUGCCUGCGCACCGUCUACGAGCAGCGGGGCGAGGAGCUGGUCAGCUACCUGCAGAGCCGGUACAUGCCCACGCUGGACCUGGAGCCGGACGUGAUCCAGCGCUUCUGCCAGGCGCUCCGCUCCGACAGCAAGAUAUUCCGCAACUACACCAAGAUGUUUUUCCGCCAGGCGCGUUCGUGACCUGCGCUGGCGUCGGCGGCCGGGCCUAGUCAGUGUCUUUGAAUGCUCCAGCCGACGCGGGCGGGCACCGCAGGACCCUCAGCGCUGACGGCCGUGAUGGCUAGUUGGCCAGGUGGCAUCACUGAAACUCAAUCGACGCGUUGCGACGCUUAAAGCGUGGGAACAUA